rnacentral:sRNA from 1 species
UAAUUGAUGGCACAUUAUUCUAGUCAAUUAUUUUAUUAUGAAGACGAGCUUAAAAAUUCGUUAAAGGGCAUAUCUGUGAAACCUUUGGUGUCUGCUUCCUACGCCCAGUUCGGGGUGGAUGCUGAAGAUGAGAAUCUUGGGCUACUUGUAAUGGCAUACGAGUCUAGUUCCAACAUUCGUGGAGACCUAUUAUUGUGGUAGAUCUAUACGGACAACAACUGAUGAUUUAUUACGAAAUAGGAUAGAAACCUGUAUUGUGGCGAAAGUUAUGUGCAGCGUAGCCUGUCUUGAGUGAAAAUAUUGGGAUAAAUGAACUUAUUCAAAUAAAUAGGCCGAUUUUUUUGAAUAUUGCAUUUUGAAAUUGUUUUUGCAAAAAAGGAUUAAUAAUAAAAUUUUGGUGAGGAAAUCUCCUAGAGUGCAUUUCAAUGUAGGAUUGCAGUGGGAACUAAGUGGUAAUCAAGUCGUAUAUUUCGGUGACGAUAUAUUAAUUCUUAUAAUGGGGAACCGCAAGUUUGGUAACGAACUUGUAAGAAUUAGGGAAAACCUACUUGACCUAAGUCUCAAAGUUUACUAUUUUGAAUGCCAAAUAAUUAUAAAA